GCCCGGGGUCCGAGGGGCCCGCUGCCCGGGCUCGCUGCGUGGUGCUACCGCCCCCGGGCCCGCUGCGCCGCGUCGGAGCCCCAGCAGACUUUGAGAGGCGUGUGCGACAGUGCGCGUCCUCUCCUGCCUCUGGAUGUUUCCUUGGAGCCUCUGGCCUUCGGGAAGACCGCCUGAUGGCCUGGUGUUGGGCCUGAUCACCCCAAAAUUUCAGGCACCCAACGUGGGGCUAUGAAGACCAUGGUAAAGAAAUGCUAGAGUAUAUGGAAAUGAAGGACAUAUCAUCAAAGGACACCCGAGGAUGGCUGAAAGAAGCUUGGUGGGUAAGCUGGGCACUCUGAAGAACCAAGUGCCACUGGGUUAGAGUCUCCCCGACCAAGCUGGUCUCAGCAAGUGGUCUCCAUCAUGGGGGCUCGAAUCCAGGUUGAAGGGUCACCAGAGUGAUGGUUGGAGAACAUGGAACUAGCUGGAGGACACCUGAGUACUCUUAAAGCAAACCCCGUGUUAAUUGAAAAUGCUCAGUUACGAUUUCAUACAGAUGAACAACUGAAGACAAAAACAACAAAGGGGGAGAAAGAGGGAUUAUGGGACAGCCCAUAUACAAUUGAAUCUAGCAUUAUUAACUUUAAAUUUUUUGAGUCUGCCUAAAGGCCAGAUGUUAUCAGCAGCUGAACAGCAUUUACAGAAACCGGCUGCAAAGACAGAAGCAGAACAACUGGUUUGGUGGAGAGAUCCGAUAACAAAAAGUUGGGAAAUAGGUAAAAUAAUAACUUGGGGUAGAGGUUAUGUUUGUGUUUCUCCAGGCCAAAAUCAAUAACCAAUUUGGAUACCAUCAAGACACCUGAAACCUUAUCAUGAGCCAGAUGCUGAGGAAGAGAUUCCAGGAGGAUCCUGAGGACCCCCUGGUUGCAGCCACGUCGAGGCUGACACUGAGGAGGACCCCAACUGUCAUGAGCAACACCCGUCGAACACAGCCAUCCACCUGGGGACAAAUCAAGAAGCUGUCACAGAUGAUGGAAGAAAACCUGAGGAAAGCGGGACAACCAAUCACAAUGAGUAAUUUGGUGAUCUAUCACAGUGAUGAUCACCAUUGCCAUGAGUAUUCCUUCAACAAGGGCUGACACAGAGAACAAUUAUACUUAUUGGGCAUAUUUAUCAAUCUUGUCUGGCAAUAAUGCCUAGAUGAUUUCACUCUAUGGCACAGUUACACAUGCUUUCUGAUCUCAGUAUUUACCAUAAUAAAUCUGCUCCUAUAAUUGAGGCAUACCACCCUCAAAAACCUAUUUGUAAACAAAAUAGAACCUGGCCAGAAAUAAUGAACAACUUGUUUAGUAAGAUUGCAUUGCAGAACAGGCAGAGAUGCUACGCAAUGAUUCCUAUGGGAUCAUUGAUUGGUCCCCUAAGGGGAUGUUUAGCUUAAAUUGCACCUCUCAGUCUGCAUGCCAUGGCCACACUAGUUCAGAUGGUCUGAACAAAGUGGUCAGAUGGCAGAAAUGAUAAGAAGUAUGGCAAAAGUUCCUAUUGUCUGGAACCAUGGCAGUAUAGUGUCACCUCAACCUCAAAUGAUAUGGCUCAUUGUAGGAGCUAAACAUAAGGAUUUGUGGAAACUAUUAAUAGCUCUUAAUAAGAUCAAAAUUUGGGAAAGAAUAAAAAAAGCAUCUAGAAAGACACUCUACAAACUUGUCUUUGGAUAUUACAAAAUUAAAAGAACAAAUAUUUAAAGCAUCCCAGGUACACCUGACCUUAAUGACAGAAACUGGAGUGCUUGAAGGAGCUGCAGACAGAUUAGCAGCUAGUAACCCAUUAAAAUGGAUAAAAACACUUGGAAGCUCUGUGAUUUCAAUGAUGAUUGUGCUUUUAAUCGGUAUUGUUUGUCUUUGUAUAGUGUGCAGAUGUGGAUCCUGACUCCUGUGAGAAGUAGCUCACAGUGUCAAAGCUGCCUUUGCUUUUAUCGAUUUGCAAAUCAAAUAAGGGGGACAUAUUGGGAACAGCACCCCCCCCCCCAAAAUCUGGCCAUAAACUGGUCCCAAAACUGGCCAUAAACAAAAUCUCUGCAGCACUGACAUGUUCAUGAUGGUCUUAAUGCCCACGCUGGAAGGUUGUGGGUUUACCAGAAUGAGAGCAAGGAACACCUGGCCCACCCAGGGUGGAAAACCACUUAAAGGCAUUCUUAAACCACAAACAAUAGCAUGAGUGAUCUGUGCCUUAAGGCUGUGCUACUGCUGCAGAUAACUAGCCCAACCCAUCCCUUUAUUUCAGCCCAUCCCUUCGUUUCCCAUAAGGGAUACUUUUAAUUAAUCUAAUAUGUAUAGAAAGAAUGCUAAUGACUGGCUUGCUGUUAAUAAAUAACGUGGGUAAAUCUCUGUUGGAGGCUCUCAGCUCUGAAGGCUGUGAGACCCCGGAUUUCCCACUUCACACCUCUGUAUUUCUGUGUGUCUGUCUUUAAUUCCUUUAGCACCACUGGGUUAGGGUCUCCCCGACCGAGCUGGUCUUUGCACUUCUCACUUCUGGAUAUAGGCCUCCCUAGAGGGUUUUUUUUUUCUUUUUUGAUAGGAUCUUGCUCUUUCAUCCAGGCUGGUGUGCUGUAGUGUAUUCAUGGCUUGCUGCAGUCUUGAUCUCCCAGACUCAAGUAAUCCUCCCAUCUCAGCCUCCUGAAUAGCUAGGACCACAGGCCUGUGCCACCAUGUCUGGCUACUUUAAUUUUUUUUCCCUUAGAGACAGAGUCUCACUAUGUUGCCCAGGCUGGUCUCACAUUCCUGCACUCGUCAUCUUCCUGCCUUGGCCUUCCAAAGUGCUGAGAUUACAGGCAUGAAACACUACACCUGGCCAUCCCUGGAGUAUUUCUUCCUUCCUUCCUUCCUUGCUUCCUUCCUUCCUUUUUUCUUUUCCUCCCUCCCUCUCUCUUUCUUUCUUUGUUUCUUUUUCUCCCUUUCUUCCUUUCUUUCUUUCUUUUCUUUCUUUCUUCCUUCCUUUCUUUUUCUUUCUCUCUUUCUUUCUUCUUUCCUUCCUCCUUCCCUCCUUCCCUCCCCUCCCUCCCCCUCCCCUCCCUUCCUUCCUUCCUUCUUUCCUUCCUUCCUUCCUUUCUUCCUUCCUUCUUUCCUGUCUUAUUUCAAAACACAUGUCUUC
rnacentral:lncRNA from 1 species